AAGCCAGACACACACAGAACCAUUUUGUACAUCAUUUGGAGUUAUUUUCCAUGUCAGUCAAAGCUGUAUUACAUGUCCAAGUUUUGAGAAAGUCCAAAACUAAAUUUGAAUGAAAAGACAACAUUGUCACAGGGCUUGUUUGACUUGAAUUUGUUUGAUUAGGCUACAUAAUGACCUAAAGGUGAGCAGUAAUUCACUGGUUUACUGUUGUGAAAGGACAGCUUGGCUGAUUUGUGCAUGCAGUCCUCCUAUAGGCCUACUCACAAAGCUGUUGCAUGGGACCCUUCUGUCACCUCUCAGCCACCUUCAUAAGAAGCGGACCAACAUGAAUCUUCAGCACAUCUGAAUGAUCUGACUUGUGAUGUGGCUCCAAAAGCAGGAAGGACUUUGGAUCUUCUUACAUCUCAGAGGCAAAGACUCUUGAUAUUGUGUUGAAUACUAAGAUUAGUAUGCUAAGUAGGUUUCAAUGGCCACUGGCAACAGACUG